rnacentral:rRNA from 1 species
AUUGAACGCUGGCGGCAUGCCUUACACAUGCAAGUCGAACGGCAGCGGGGGAGAAGCUUGCUUUUCCUGCCGGCGAGUGGCGAACGGGUGAGUAAUACAUCGGAACGUGCCCUGUAGUGGGGGAUAACUAGUCGAAAGAUUAGCUAAUACCGCAUACGACCUGAGGGUGAAAGUGGGGGACCGCAAGGCCCCAUGCUAUAGGAGCGGCCGAUGUCUGAUUAGCUAGUUGGUGGGGUAAAGGCCUACCAAGGCGACGAUCAGUAGCUGGUCUGGGCGGACUAUCAGCCAAACUGGGAAGGAGACACGGCCCAGCCUCCUACGGGAGGAAGCAGUGGGGAAUUUUGGACAAUGGGCGAAAGCCUGAUCCAGCAAUGCCGCGGGUGUGAAGAAGGCCUUCGGGUUGUAAAGCACUUUUGUCCGGAAAGAAAUGGCUCUGGUUAAUACCUGGGGUCGAUGACGGUACCGGAAGAAUAAGGACCGGCUAACUACGUGCCAGCCGCCGCCGUAA